rnacentral:rRNA from 1 species
AUUGAACGCUGGCGGCAGGCCUAACACAUGCAAGUCGAGCGGAUGAAGGGAGCUUGCUCCUGGAUUCAGCGGCGGACGGGUGAGUAAUGCCUAGGAAUCUGCCUGGUAGUGGGGGAUAACGUCCGGACACGGGCGCUAAUACCGCAUACGUCCUGAGGGAGAAAGUGGGGGAUCUUCGGACCUCACGCUAUCAGAUGAGCCUAGGUCGGAUUAGCUAGUUGGUGGGGUAAAGGCCUACCAAGGCGACGAUCCGUAACUGGUCUGAGAGGAUGGUCAGUCACACUGGAACUGAGACACGGUCCAGACUCCUACGGGAGGCAGCAGUGGGGAAUAUUGGACAAUGGGCGAAAGCCUGAUCCAGCCAUGCCGCGUGUGUGAAGAAGGUCUUCGGAUUGUAAAGCACUUUAAGUUGGGAGGAAGGGCAGUAAGUUAAUACCUUGCUGUUUUGACGGUACCAACAGAAUAAGCACCGGCUAACUUCGUG